GGGCCCGCACAAGCGGUGGAGCAUGUGGUUUAAUUCGAUGAUACGCGAGGAACCUUACCAGGGCUUAAAUGUAAGUUGCAUAGAUCAGAGAUGGUCUUUUCUUCGGACUACUUACAAGGUGCUGCAUGGUUGUCGUCAGCUCGUGCCGUGAGGUGUCAGGUUAAGUCCUAUAACGAGCGCAACCCCCAUCGUUAGUUGCCAACGAGUAAUGUCGGGAACUCUAACGAAACUGCCGGUGCAAACCGUGAGGAAGGUGGGGAUGACGUCAAAUCAUCACGGCCCUUACGUCCUGGCUACACACGUGCUACAAUGGUCGGUACAGAGAGCAGCCACUACGCGAGUAGGAG
rnacentral:rRNA from 1 species